UACGAAGGGUGCAAGCGUUAAUCGGAAUUACUGGGCGUAAAGCGUGCGCAGGCGGUUUGUUAAGUCUGUUGUGAAAUCCCCGAGCUCAACUUGGGAAUUGCAAUGGAUACUGGCAGGCUGGAGUAUGGUAGAGGAAGGUGGUAUUCCCGGUGUAGCAGUGAAAUGCGUAGAGAUCGGGAGGAACCCCAGUGGCGAAGGCGGCCUUCUGGACCAAUACUGACGCUCAUGCACGAAAGCGUGGGGAGCAAACAGG
rnacentral:rRNA from 1 species